UGGGCUGGUCGAAAGGCCCAGGUCCAUCGAGGGCGGGGAAGUUCCCC
rnacentral:sRNA from 1 species